ACGCACGCUGGCGGCGUGCCUAAUACAUGCAAGUAGAACGCUGAAGGAGGAGCUUGCUCUUCUGGAUGAGUUGCGAACGGGUGAGUAACGCGUAGGUAACCUGCCUGGUAGCGGGGGAUAACUAUUGGAAACGAUAGCUAAUACCGCAUAACAGUAGAUGUUGCAUGACAUUUGCUUAAAAGGUGCAAUUGCACCACUACCAGAUGGACCUGCGUUGUAUUAGCUAGUUGGUGGGGUAACGGCUCACCAAGGCGACGAUACAUAGCCGACCUGAGAGGGUGAUCGGCCACACUGGGACUGAGACACGGCCCAGACUCCUACGGGAGGCAGCAGUAGGGAAUCUUCGGCAAUGGACGGAAGUCUGACCGAGCAACGCCGCGUGAGUGAAGAAGGUUUUCGGAUCGUAAAGCUCUGUUGUAAGAGAAGAACGAGUGUGAGAGUGGAAAGUUCACACUGUGACGGUAUCUUACCAGAAAGGGACGGCUAACUACGUG
rnacentral:rRNA from 1 species